rnacentral:lncRNA from 1 species
AAGUUCUGUUCUGGGACCUUCAUUGUAGGAACUGAAAAUGAAAGAACCAAAAUAGAUAUCAACAGAUAAUUAAAGGAACGUUUGGAAGUUUUUUACCUCAUGCAAACCUCAAACUCUGAACCACUACUGCCUAAAGGAAAUAAAUACUGUGUUAUGGCUUUGAAAAAGUGAAGUGGCCAUGUUAGGAGGCCCAGAUGGUAAGGAGCUGAGGGAGGCCUCCAGGAAAUGGC